UCCUGUGGUGACUUAGGAAUCUGAGUUUUCUCAUCUUAUUUUUCCAUCUCUGCAAUAAACCUUCUCACUCCCUGGCAGAAAGUGGAAUGGAAUACUCAUAUCUGCUUGAAUGCUUUUGUCUAGAACUGUUACUUCUGCUUAUAACCUGCUCAACAGGACUAAUAGCAUUCUCUUAAAGUGGGCAAAGAAAAAAAAGUAGCACAUGGAAUAUUCAAUUCUUUGUGGAAAAGACUGUCUCUUGUGAACUUCAGUCUAUUAUUAGACUAUUCCAGAGCAAUGUCAGGGAAAAUGUGGACACAGAAAUAGAUGUGCAUAGAAGAUGUGAAAACACAGAAAAAAUGCCAUCUGUAAAACCAAGAAACAUCUGAGGCUACCAGGAGAGACAAUAAUGGAACAGAUUUUACCUCAUGAUCCUCAGAAGAAACAAAUCUUGUUGACUUUUUGAUUUUGGACCUCUAGCUUCUAAAACUGUGACAAUAAAAAUUUCUAUUGUUUAAGCCACCUAGUGUUUUGUCCUUUUUCUACAGAAGCACUGGAAAAGUAAUAUAGUACUGUCUUAGUCUGUUUUGUGCUGCUAUAAAGGAAUACCUGAAACUGGGUAAUGAGCAAAGACAAAAGGCUAAUUUGGCUUGCAGUUUUGCAGGCUGUUUGAGAAGCAUGGUACUGAUACCUGUUUGGCUUCUGGUAGGGCCGUAGACUGAGUCCACUAAUGGCAGAAAAAAAGGGAGCUAGCAUGUGCAAAAAUUGCAUGGCAAGAGAGGAAGCAAAGGUGUCGGGGGAGGUGGCAGGCUCUUUUUAACAUCCAACUCUUUCAGGAAUGAAUAAAGGGAGAGUUGACUCACCUUCUCCUACCCCUGCCAGAGGUGGCAUCAGUCUAUCCAUGAGGUAGUCAGCCCCAUGACCCAAUUCCUCUCAUCAGGUCCCGCCUCCAGCGUUGGGGAUCAAAUUUCAACAUGAGGUUUGCAGGAAUCAAACAUUCAAACAAUAGCAAGUAGGGACUUUCUGGUUGACCCUGAUAAACUGGAACCAUUUAUUAAAUUAACUGUUCCAUAGAUUAGAUUGUAUCAGAUGUCAGUGCACACCCUUUGCUCUUACCA
rnacentral:lncRNA from 1 species